GUACAGUCUGUCAGAGAGGAUGAAACCAGGAGUUAAUGAUUUGUAGUUAUUGAACUUCCAGGAAUGUAUUUUCUGACAAAACUGGGAUGACAGCACAAACAUGACAUUGAAACACACCACAGCUUUGUCAAAUAGACCUUAAUUAAAUGGCUGUUCACAUGCUAACCGUACCUCUGAGUUCUCUGAUACAUCUCAGAGAUGUUGUGUUUUCUCUUCUCUGGUGUGAGGAUCUUUAACUCCACUGUCGUUUUUGGCCUGCAGUCACUAACUGAAAGAAAACAAAAACCCCAGCCCAAAAAUCAGAUAAAUACACAAGUGAAACACAAGGUGACAUUUUCAUUGAGAGUCAUCUUUAACGUCCUCUUUUUGGAUUUUUGAGUUAAAGCUGUAACAAUUUUUUUUUAAUAUGUAUAUUAACUUACUGUUAAUUAAUUUUAUUUAAAUACUUUAUCUCUUGAUGUAUCAAACAGUUUGGUUUUAAAAUGUCAACUACGUGACUGUCUAAUGAUGUGACUGCAGGAUUUCAAUAAAAGAAGAAACAGACAAUUUAAAGGAAGCAGAGUGUGAUCAAGUCAUGUGAAGAGUUUAACAUUCAUAAAACAAAAAGAUCUGACCUGGAGGAGGCUUCUGGACCUGGUCCUGCUGCUCGGCUCGUCCUCCCUCGGACACAUUCUUCUGUUGAGCCUCUGUGACGACCUCUGCAGUAGAGCUCUGUACUUCUGUUGGUUGAGCUGCUGCAGACCUCUGUCCUGGUUCCACUGAAACUCCAGGGACAUCACUGCAUAAAGAAAAGAAAUGUAAAUUAUUACCUAGUCAAAAUCUAUUUGAAUAAAACUUUCAAUGCUA